rnacentral:rRNA from 1 species
CGCAAGCCUGAUGCAGCGACGCCGCGUGAGGGAUGACGGCCUUCGGGUUGUAAACCUCUUUCAGUAGGGAAGAAGCGAAAGUGACGGUACCUGCAGAAGAAGCGCCGGCUAACUACGUGCCAGCAGCCGCGGUAAUACGUAGGGCGCAAGCGUUAUCCGGAAUUAUUGGGCGUAAAGAGCUCGUAGGCGGUUUGUCGCGUCUGCUGUGAAAGACCGGGGCUCAACUCCGGUUCUGCAGUGGGUACGGGCAGACUAGAGUGCAGUAGGGGAGACUGGAAUUCCUGGUGUAGCGGUGAAAUGCGCAGAUAUCAGGAGGAACACCGAUGGCGAAGGCAGGUCUCUGGGCUGUAACUGACGCUGAGGAGCGAAAGCAUGGGGAGCGAACAGGAUUAGAUACCCUGGUAGUCCAUGCCGUAAACGUUGGGCACUAGGUGUGGGGGACAUUCCACGUUUUCCGCGCCGUAGCUAACGCAUUAAGUGCCCCGCCUGGGGAGUACGGCCGCAAGGCUAAAACUCAAAGGAAUUGACGGGGGCCCGCACAAGCGGCGGAGCAUGCGGAUUAAUUCGAUGCAACGCGAAGAACCUUACCAAGGCUUGACAUGAACCGGUAAUACCUGGAAACAGGUGCCCCGCUUGCGGUCGGUUUACAGGUGGUGCAUGGUUGUCGUCAGCUCGUGUCGUGAGAUGUUGGGUUAAGUCCCGCAACGAGCGCAACCCUCGUUCUAUGUUGCCAGCGCGUUAUGGCGGGGACUCAUAGGAGACUGCCGGGGUCAACUCGGAGGAAGGUGGGGACGACGUCAAAUCAUCAUGCCCCUUAUGUCUUGGGCUUCACGCAUGCUACAAUGGCCGGUACAAAGGGUUGCGAUACUGUGAGGUGGAGCUAAUCCCAAAAAGCCGGUCUCAGUUCGGAUUGGGGUCUGCAACUCGACCCCAUGAAGUCGGAGUCGCUAGUAAUCGCAGAUCAGCAACGCUGCGGUGAAUACGUUCCCGGGCCUUGUACACACCGCCCGUCAAGUCACGAAAGUUGGUAACACCCGAAGCCGGUGGCCU